GGAAUGCUCUGGGAGUUGUAGUCUUUCAAACAGCUGUGAAUUUCUAUACCUGUAUUGGAACACUACAGCUCCUAGAAAUUCC
rfam:Xenopus tropicalis strain Nigerian Chr02_contig_2994, whole genome shotgun sequence.